ensembl:lncRNA
CUCCCAUUUGGCUGUAACCAGUGCAUUAUGACAGUUUGGCUUCCACUAAAUUCUCCCUUCCCUUGGCACAGUUGGGACUGUAUCUGACUCCUAUCCUACCUCCCAGAAGAAGGAGGAUUUUAAUCCAGAUCCACGAGAAGAAGGAAUAGGUCUCUCCUGGUGUCUGUGGGAUACGGCCCUGCUCUGUGAACAUUGCUAUUGAUAGCAUUUUAGCUCCCUGAGGAGGUGUCAGCAUCACCACUGCCACACAGCAGCAGCCUCAGCCAAAGCCAGUCUCAUGCACUGAAGGUUCAGGAUUAUUCCAGUCAGAGUAGCAGGCAUUGUGUCUGCUGCCCAUAGGAGAUGCAGAGAAAGCAAAAGCCCCUGAUGCAGUUUAAGGACCUUUAAGCUGCUGGGCAGAGCGGCCCUGGAAAAUCCUCCUAUGGAGCCAGUUUCUCCCUAGGAGCUGCUGGAUUGGCAGUGCGGGAGCUGCGCACCGCGGUGCAGCAAUUUGUUCCAGUUCUGAGAUAUGCAAAGAGACUUUUCCAUGAUUAUUUCCAAACCAGACUAGAACAAGUCUUUUCCUGCCAUCGGAAAUACAUUCUGCUAAUGCAGUACCGGUUUGGGGGCGAGAAAAUAUAAUGAAAUAAAUAAAUAAACCUCCUGUUAAGUCACGCGUAGGAAACGUUGUGGAAACAAUUUUUGUCAUAUGAGUACUGGAGGAUAGAUGGGUGUUUUUAAGCAACAAGACCAUCGUUGUGCUUAGCUCACUCUCUUUGUGCCCAGCAACUGGACUGUGUCUUUCAGAAUUAGUAUUAAUAAUAAAAUGUCAGAGGGUGAAGGAAGUGCAGGUUCCUCUACAUAGCUAGGUCCCUGUUUGGGAGCUUCUGAGCAAAGGGUUUCUACAUCUAUUUGCUAUUCAGCCACGCUGCCAAGAAAGCCAAUAUAAAGAAGCAGACAUUGUAGUGCUUUUUGUGCUGUUCAUCUCCGGUCACUCCACAUCGGACAGACGCAGCUCAUUCAGUUCAUCAGGCCACCAAACAGAAGCCGGGUGCGGAAGGCAUCCGGUCCCUGCUGCAUUGGCUCAGGUUCUGCUCAUGAUGAGUCUCCACAAACCAGUAUUGGCCCUAGGAACCGCUCCACUUCAGAAAUGUACAUUCUUCUCUUCCAAUUAGUGAAACAGAACCACAUUGUCAAGGAAAUGCUCGCAGUGAUCUAAUAGGUCAGUCCUAUCUUUAACUUCUAUCAUUCAAAAAAAGAAGGAAAUUAUUUUCCAGUCAUUUGAAAGUUCGCAUUGUGAUUAAAAUAAAGCAAAGUUCACUAACCUUUCCUUUGCUUUGCGAGUUUUUCCUCUUAUGAGUAUU